rnacentral:misc_RNA from 1 species
AAAGUCGUAACAAGGUUUCCGUAGGUGAACCUGCGGAAGGAUCAUUACAAGUAAUAAGUACCCAGUACCUAUUAUAAACCCAUCUGUGUACCUUACCCGUUGCUUCCGUGGAGCCGUCGACAGCCAUGUCGGCGGUCCCCCACGGGAGGUCCACACCAAAAACAUUGCAUUGCCAUGAUGUCUGUCUGAAAUGAAAACAACAAAAGUUAAAACUUUCAACAACGGAUCUCUUGGUUCUC